rnacentral:lncRNA from 1 species
UGGAACUGGAAUUGGAUUUCAGCUCAAUACAAGGAAGGACUGUCCAACAGUCGGGUAAUGCAGUGGGCUGCGGAAACCAUACAGGGAGGUGGCAAGGCUGAAUUCCAGAGCCAGGCCAACCUGAGUUUGCAUGCUGACGAUUUCUUGGUAUGUGACCUUGGCCAACUUACUUAGUCUUCUAAGCCUAUUUUUUCAUCCAUAAAAGAUGAUAGCAGUACUUCUUAGUGUUGUUAUGAAUAAAGUGAGAUAAUACAUGCCUUGUGCAUAUCACAGUGCCUGGCAUAGAGCAAACCCUCCAUAAAUGUUAUCCAGUAUUUGUUAUGAUUCUUAAUGAUGAUUAACGACUGUGCUCUGUCUACCCAUAAUAAGUAGCAGAAAGGAAAUGAUAAAGAUAAGAACAGAAGUUAACACAAUACAAACAAUGAAUUAACAAAUCCAGAAGUUAGUUCUCCAACUGGUUCUACCUCUUCAACAGGCCUCUCUUAGUUUUCCUGUUCUGUCUGUGGGCCUCAAGUCCUCCUCUGUUCCUCCCCCAAAUGAUUCUCCCUCUCCUCACUUCCUCCCAAAGAGGAAGUAUGGUGGUCUGAUGGGUUGGUUUCCCA